UACAGAGGUCUCAAGCGUUGUUCGGAUUCAUUGGGCGUAAAGCGCGCGCAGGCGGUCCUUUAAGUCUGAUGUGAAAGCCCACGGCUCAACCGUGGAGGGUCAUUGGAAACUGGGGGACUUGAGUACAGAAGAGAAGAGUGGAAUUCCACGUGUAGCGGUGAAAUGCGUAGAGAUGUGGAGGAACACCAGUGGCGAAGGCGACUCUUUGGUCUGUAACUGACGCUGAGGCACGAAAGCCAGGGGAGCAAACGGG
rnacentral:rRNA from 1 species